UCCCCUCUCCCUUUGACCAUUCAAACCCAUCUUUUCUCUCUUAUCUUCUCUCUCUCUCUCUCCUUCGCACGCUCUCUCCUCCCUUUCGCGCAUUCCAACGAACGAAGACAGAAGAAGAGCAGACGUUGCAGCUCGCCGUCGCCGCACGUCCCGCCGCCCGCGCUCGCACGCCCCGCGUCCGCCGCUCGCCGCCGUGCGCCGCCUGCCCUCUCCUCCGCCCAGGCGCCCCUUCCCUGCGUGAGACAGCCCUGUUCGACCCCUGUUCAGCUCGGUUCCGCCCCGUCCAGCCGCCUCCAGCCACCGCCCAGCACCGCUGAACCUCCCCGACGUUUCCCUCGCCCUCCGCCGGCCUCCCCUCGUCGCCUCAGCCACCGAACCAGCUCCGGCCAACCUAGAUCGGCUACUGGUCGGUGGGUUUCCAGCGGCUUUAGGCCCGCUUUUGGGCCGUUUCCGGAUCCCGAACCCGAGGCCCGCUUUGGAGUUUGUUGUUCCUCGCGUCGCCUCCGUCGGAUUGAUCCGAUUUGCGAGCGAUUCCGGACCCCGGUGAGAAGCUGAAGAGGAGGAGUCUGAGAAGGAGAACUCGGAGGUGAAACCUGAGGAGAAUGAUUUUUGGAAGAAGAAGAUAAUACCGAGAGAGAUCUUGAGUACGACCUAGAUGGAUUGAGACUCCAUCUUAUUUUGAGAGCGCCAUUUUGAUGUGAAUAGAGUAAAGUAAAAAGUUAUGAAGAGUUGUGAAUUACUCUAGUUUAUGUCAUGUAUAAAAGUUUGGUUAUAAGUUUCAAUAUGAAAAAUAUGGCCCUGUUUUUUUA